UCCCUGGUAGCUCAAUGGUAGAGCGGCGCCCUGUUAAGGCGAUGGUUGUAGGUUCGAAUCCUACCCGGGGAGCAA
rnacentral:tRNA from 1 species